AUCAGCAAUAUUAUAUUUUAUUGUAAAAAUUCUGAAUUUGAGUAUCAGACUUAGCCAGCGCGAGAUUUGAUUCUAGUUAUUUGAAACUUUUAGUUGGAGAUUCAAAGAAGUAUGAUAAAGAGUAUAUCGAUAGCGUAUUUCAAAAAAAACAAACAGUGUUUCUUACAGCGAAAUCAAAGUGGCAUAGGCUCCAAUGGACCCCAAGAUGACAACGAAAUCAGAAGUCUGUGAAUUUCACUGACGUUAAAUCAAACUGGGCAGAUGUAGGGCGUUCCGGGGUGGCAUGAAAACAUCAAGGUGAAUCGUGCGCAGAUGAAAAGGAGUUGGAAAAUACCAAUUGUGCUUGGAACUCGUACAAAGGUCUUUUGAAAGAUUCGUUCUUAUUCUCAAAGAGGACGUAGGCGUUGCGACGCACAAAGGCAUCAUAAUCCUAUGAUAAACAGUAGACGGAGAGAAUUAAAUACUAAAAAUUCCUGCAAAAUUUACAAUAAAUAUUAUUAUAAAAAUAGUAACCUCGUGCCAUCUUGUCAUAUUAAUGUAGUACCUAAUCUUUCGUUUGUCACAAGCAAAUUUUCCAACCAACAGAGUAAAAACAGCUAAUAAACUUUUACAAGUACUAUAGUAAAAUAUAACUGCUGACAAUUAAAAUUUUCUGUAAAUCUAGUCAAAAGUAACGUCCUAGGUUAAUCUUCGACUGUUAUCGCAUACGGAGGAUAUGCUGAUUCGGCUAAAGAUAGCCGAAGAUAGACCGUUGUCAAUUGAUUAUAGUACUUUCAGUAUGGUAAAAUUUACAGACUGCAAAAUAAAUUGUAACUAUCUAUCAGUUCACUUAUAUCUUUAAAUUUAAAAGAGUCCAAAAAUCGGACUGAAUUAGGUAUAUUUUAAAGUAUCUUAAAAUUCCCCAUGCGACAACGUAAGAUUUAAUGUCAUCUGCAGAAUAUGUGGCUAUAAUUACAUUAUUAUUUCAAAUUUAGAUCUAUACUGUAGACUACGGUGUCAUGAAGUCCCACAAUUACCGUGACAGUCAUGAUAAUUUUUAUUAUAAAAUCUUCUCCAUGUACGCGUAUCGUACAGGGCUAAGUUUGUCGCAUACAGGAAGUACUAUAUAAAUUCAUAUAUCUAUGUACACACAAUGUAAAACAAAAUUGUGAACCGUUAUACAAUUUAUAUUUCAAAUUAGAGUAACACGGUAACAUACAGUAUCAACACCGUAAUUAAGAAAAUUCGAAUAGUGAUCAAAAUAAUAUUUUGUUCACAUAUCCUUAAUUCUCGUGCGAUAGAAUUCUAAUUAUAACAGGCAAGGUAUCGAAUCCGUGC